GGAGCUCUCCCAUAUGGUCGACCUGCAGGCGGCCGCGAAUUCACUAGUGAUUGUUUGAUCCUGGCUCAGGAUGAACGCUAGCGACAGGCCUAACACAUGCAAGUCGAGGGGUAUAAGUAGCUUGCUACUUAGAGACCGGCGCACGGGUGAGUAACGCGUAUGCAACCUACCUUUUACUGGGGGAUAGCCCAAAGAAAUUUGGAUUAAUACCGCAUAACAUAUUUGAAUCGCAUGGUUUGAAUAUUAAAACUUCGGUGGUAAAAGAUGGGCAUGCGUAGCAUUAGUUAGUUGGUGAGGUAACGGCUCACCAAGACUAUGAUGCUUAGGGGGUCUGAGAGGAUAGUCCCCCACACUGGUACUGAGACACGGACCAGACUCCUACGGGAGGCAGCAGUGAGGAAUAUUGGUCAAUGGGCGCAAGCCUGAACCAGCCAUGUCGCGUGCAGGAUGACGGCCCUAUGGGUUGUAAACUGCUUUUUUACAGGAAUAAACUUUGUUACGUGUAGCAAACUGAAGGUACUGUAAGAAUAAGGAUCGGCUAACUCCGUGCCAGCAGCCGCGGUCAUACGGAGGAUCCAAGCGUUAUCCGGAUUUAUUGGGUUUAAAGGGUCCGUAGGCGGGCUUUUAAGUCAGUGGUGAAAUCCCAGAGCUCAACUCUGGAACUGCCAUUGAUACUGAAGGUCUUGAAUUUAGUUGAGGUGGGCGGAAUACGUUAUGUAGCGGUGAAAUGCAUAGAUAUAACGUAGAACACCGAUUGCGAAGGCAGCUCACUAAGCUAACAUUGACGCUGAUGGACGAAAGCGUGGGGAGC
rnacentral:rRNA from 1 species